GGGAACUUGCCACUAUCAGCCACCCUGGAUAUUAGCAGCUGCCUACAAAGAAGAACUAGGAGGCCAAGCUUGUGGGGAGAGGGCUAAGUGAUUCCCUCAGAAAAUUAAAGCCUAUUCACGGAAAGCGUGCCCGGAGAUGACGGCUGAGGGAUCCCACCCGGAAAAGGGCUCCACGCAGGGCCCAUCGGAAGCCCAGCAGUGAAGCCUUCUCAGCGGUGUCAUGAAGGCUGGACCAUUGGCAGCCUCUGUACUCUGACGGGAACCUUGUGCCUCAGAAGACAACACAUGCUGCAGAAGAGCCCAGUGGCCUGAGAUGAGGGAAGACAUCUGCUCGGUCUUUCUCCAUCUGGCCUACAAAGUUAUUUCCUUCUCCAGAGCUAAGCCCGGUAGAGGCCAUGAUAACACUUCCAUGAUAACAAACGAAUUUAACACUUUCCUUGGGGGCUUUAGCCAUUAUCUAUCUUAAAAGAUGGUAGUUGUUGAAGGCAGACUUUUAAGGCAGCCUUCAGUGACCCUCUCUGGUAUCAUCUUUCCUGGAGUGUGGAACUUGUGAAUAUGAUAAGAUAUUACCCAAAAUACUGAUGUGGUAUUGUAUGAUAAAGCAGAUUUUACAGCUGUAACGAAGGUCCCAAAUCAGCAGACCAUAAGACAGGGAGAUCGCUGGGGUGGGCCUGACCUAAUCACUUGAGUUCUUGCAUUACUUCUGUUUAUUAGACGAUCCCUUGCACUGAAAAUGAUCUAGAAGAAAGGAAAAUAUGAGGCAAACCGUAGUUCGUUUUCCUUUUAGGACAUCCUUACUCAUCUGUAAGCCAAAUGUGGGGAAAAUGCAUGCAUGUCAAGAAGUGAGAUAAAAACAGUUGAGUUAGUUUUGAGCAGUCUUCCCACUGUUGUGGUGAGAAUGACAUAUAUAUGCGUGUAUGAGCUCCAAAAUAUAGCUGUGUAACACUGGGUGAUUUUACAUAAGAGUUAGGUGCUCUCAUAUUUGCAUUUAAAAUGGAUAUUGUACAAUAUAAAAAUGAACAGUAAAGUGAAUACUAAUAAUUUCCAGUUUAAAUUUUUCCCUAUUUAAAAUGACAUGAAAUACCAAUAAAAAGAAACCCCAUGAUGGUUGAGAGAGACCAUAAAAAAAAAAAAAAAGAAAAUUUAUGUUUUAGUACUUUUAACAGCAUUCUUUUCCUGCCAGGGGACGACUCUGCAUUUGCAUUUUCUAUUUGGUUCUGCAAAUUACAUAGCCAUGGAGUCAGAUUUCUCAUUGUAAAAGGUUACAACUAUGAAAAGACCCCAAACCAGAAUGAACUCCAUGGAAUGGGAUUAGGAUUCGUGUGAACUCAUGGUUUUCUAAAUAGGCUGGCACAGAAGACCUAAAGAUUCAUAUAGUUAGAUAUAUAUAUAUAUAUAUAUAUAUAUAUAUAUAUAUAUCCCACAACGAGAGACAUUUGACACAAUAAGUGGUCUUUAAUUUUAAAAUAGUCAAAGUCAUGAAACUCAAAAAAAGGUGGAGAGAAAUGAUUGAGAUUGAGAAUACAAAAAGACACAAGAAAUAAAUGGGGUGUUUGAUUCUGAACUGGAUUCUUUUGCUACAGAAGACAUUAUUGGGACAACUGGUAAACCUUGAAUGGGGUCUGAAAUUAAAUAUCAUUAAUAAAUUACAGUUAAUGUCCUCAUUUUGAUGGUUGUAAUGUAAUCAUAGGUGUAAGUCCUCGUAUGUAAGAAUUGCAUGCUAAAGUAUUCAAGAGUGAUGGGGCAUCAUGUCAGCAAAUUACUCAGAAAGGAGAGCUUUUCCUACUAUUUCUGCAAUUAUUAAUUAAGUCAUUUCCAAAAAAAGAAAAAAAUAAAGAAAGAAAUAAUUAGUUACCUAGUCAAAAAAAAUAAGAAAAGCAGGCUGGAUUUCUAACAUAAUAUAAAAUAAGUGAUUUUUUUAAAAAAGAUUUUAGGGGUGCCUGGGUGGCUCAGUGGGUUAAAGCCUCUGCCUUUGGGUCAGGUCAUGAUCUCAGGGUUCUGGGGUCGAGACCGCAUCAGGAUCUCUGCUCAGCAGGGAGCCUGCUUCCCCCCUCUCUCUGCCUGCUGCUCUGCCUACUUGUGAUCCCUCUCUCUGUC